CUAAAAACCUAGCCCAACAAACAUGAAUUUUACUAAAUUAACUAAACCCCCUUAAUAAACCAUUUUAACAUUCUAGUAAAGGAGAUUGAAAAACUUAUUUGGAGCUAUAAGGACAGUACCGCAAGGGAACGAUGAAAUAUUAUGAAAAACUUCAAGCAACAAAAAGUAAAGAUUACCUCUUGUACCUUUCGCAUCAUGGUUUAACUAGUCUAACCAAGCAAAACGUAUUUAAGUUUGACUUCCCGAAACUAAGUGAGCUACUUCAGGGCAGCUAGAAGAGCAAACCCGUCUCUGUAGCAAAAGAGUGGGACGACCCUCAAGUAGUGGUGACAGACCUAACGAACUUAGUGAUAGCUGGUUACUCAAGAAACGGAUUUAAGUCCAACCUAAAAGUUACAUUACCCAAGUUUAUCAAAACAAUCAUUUGGCUUUUAGAGUAAUUCAAAUAAGGUACAGCCUAUUUGAAACAGGAUACAACCUAGCCUAACGGAUAAGAUCAGCCUAGCAUACAAUCAAGUGGGCCUAAAAGCAGCCACCUUUAAUACAGCGUCAAAGCUAAAUUGUAACCGCGCCCAAUUACUUUACCCAUAUCUCAAUCCCCUGCUAAUACUGAGUAGUUCUAUAAUACUAUAGAAAUUUUUAUGUUAAAACUAGUAACAAGAAGAAGAUUCUUCUCUUAAAUGUACAUGUAAAUCAGAAAAGACAAGCUACUGAUACUUAACGCCUCUGAGCAUAAAGUAGUAACUAACCAAGAAAACCCUACUUUCACUGGUGUUAACCUAACACAAGAACAUUCUAAGAAAGAU
rnacentral:rRNA from 1 species